rnacentral:rRNA from 1 species
UACGUAGGGGGCUAGCGUUGUCCGGAAUCAUUGGGCGUAAAGCGCGUGUAGGCGGUUUGGUAAGUCCGCUGUGAAAGUCGGGGGCUCAACCCUCGAAUGCCGGUGGAUACUGUCGAACUAGAGUGCGGAAGAGGCGAGUGGAAUUCCUGGUGUAGCGGUGAAAUGCGCAGAUAUCAGGAGGAACACCAAUUGCGAAGGCAGCUCGCUGGGGACGUAACUGACGCUGAGACGCGAAAGCGUGGGGGAGCAAACAGG